CUACGGGUUGCUGCAGUAGGGAAUAUUGGACAAUGGGGGAAACCCUGAUCCAGCAAUACCGCGUGUGCGAUGAAGGCCUUCGGGUCGUAAAGCACUUUCGAUAAGGAGGAUAGCUUGAUGGUUAAUACCCGUCAAGUCAGACGUUACUUAUAGAAGAAGCACCGGCUAACUCUGUGCCAGCAGCCGCGGUAAUACAGAGGGUGCAAGCGUUAAUCGGAAUUACUGGGCGUAAAGAGCGCGUAGGUGGAUAAGUGUGUUGAAUGUGAAAGCCCUGGGCUUAACCUAGGAUAGUCAUUCAAAACUGCUUGUCUAGAGGGCAAUAGAGGGGAGUGGAAUUUCCGGUGUAGCGGUGAAAUGCAUAGAUAUCGGAAGGAACACCAAUUGCGAAGGCAGCUCCCUGGGUUGUUUCUGACACUGAGGUGCGAAAGCAUGGGGAGCAAACAGGAUUAGAUACCCCCGUAGUC
rnacentral:rRNA from 1 species